rnacentral:rRNA from 1 species
UACAGAGGUGGCAAGCGUUGUUCGGAAUUACUGGGCGUAAAGGGCGCGUAGGCGGUCUUUUAAGUUCCGUGUGAAAUCCCUCGGCUCAACUGGGGAACUGCACGGGAAACUGGAAGGCUUGAGUUCGGGAGAGGGAAGCGGAAUUCCGGGUGUAGCGGUGAAAUGCGUAGAUAUCCGGAGGAACACCGGUGGCGAAGGCGGCUUCCUGGACCGACACUGACGCUGAGGCGCGAAAGCGUGGGGAGCAAACAGG